rnacentral:sRNA from 14 species
GUCGGGAAACCCGACCGGGGUCGCACCGCAAAUGGUAAACGCUAUCAAGGUCACGAUACCCUGGGGUGCGAGCCAGCUUCAGGCUCUAUC